rnacentral:rRNA from 1 species
GGAAUAUUGGACAAUGGGCGAAAGCCUGAUCCAGCAACGCCGCGUGGAGGAUGAAGGCCCUAGGGUUGUAAACUCCUGUCAGGUGGGGCGAAAAGGCGUCGGUUAAUACCCGAUGUCCCCGACGGUACCACCGGAGGAAGCCCCGGCCACCUACGUUCCAGCAGCCGCGGUAACCCGUAGGGGGCGAGCGUUAUUCGGAAUUAUUGGGCGUAAAGGGCGCGUAGGCGGCUAGACAAGUCAGGGGUGAAACCCCUCGGCUCAACCGAGGAACUGCCUCUGAAACUGUCUGGCUUGAGGCCGGGAGAGGGUGGUGGAAUUCCCAGUGUAGCGGUGAGAUGCGUAGAUAUUGGGAGGAACACCAGUGGCGAAGGCGGCCACCUGGACCGGUUCUGACGCUGAGGCGCGAAAGUGUGGGGAGCAAA